rnacentral:lncRNA from 1 species
GAAAAAAAGUGUUUGUAAACAUUACAUUAAUUUCUGGACCGAUGGCUGGUCUAGCUAUGAAAAUACGGAGAGUCAAACAGAAAAUAGCCAAUAAAACAUGUAAAAAAUGAUGAUCUUAUAAACCAUCUUUGAAGGCUAAAUUAGUACUCAGCUGUCUAAAAAUGAAUUUUAUUACACAAUAACUUUCAUAUUUGAAAAAUCCACCGUGG